GACGAACGCUGGCGGCGUGCUUAACACAUGCAAGUCGAACGGAAAGGCCCUGCUUUUGUGGGGUGCUCGAGUGGCGAACGGGUGAGUAACACGUGAGUAACCUGCCCUUGACUUUGGGAUAACUUCAGGAAACUGGGGCUAAUACCGGAUAGGAGCUCCUGCUGCAUGGUGGGGGUUGGAAAGUUUCGGCGGUUGGGGACGGACUCGCGGCUUAUCAGCUUGUUGGUGGGGUAGUGGCUUACCAAGGCUUUGACGGGUAGCCGGCCUGCGAGGGUGACCGGCCACAUUGGGACUGAGAUACGGCCCAGACUCCUACGGGAGGCAGCAGUGGGGAAUAUUGCACAAUGGGCGGAAGCCUGAUGCAGCAACGCCGCGUGCGGGAUGACGGCCUUCGGGUUGUAAACCGCUUUCGCCUGUGACGAAGCGUGAGUGACGGUAAUGGGUAAAGAAGCACCGGCUAACUACGUG
rnacentral:rRNA from 1 species